AUCCACUAUGUUGUCAUCUCAGCCAGAAAGGGCAAAGACUAUCCUCAAAGAGUCUUAUUUCUUUUCUUUUGAACUUCCCAAAUUUUUUGUAGCCCUAGUGUUAGGGUAUGGGAGGAAUGAGGUGGUGGGGGACUUGAGUUUCUCAAUUGGAUACAGAUCAACCGACCCUUUACAUAUUAGGUAAACAAACUACUUGUACAAGAGGUCACACAAUCUAAAUAAGGAAACUGAGCCAGAAGAUGUACACCACUCUUACUCUGUAUGCUGUUACGACUGAGUAAAGCAUUAACACACCUCAUUGCUUGAUAUUCAAUCUAGAAGAUCCGAUUUCUGAAUCAGAAUACAGCAAUGCCUGAGGCAAGGGUAACCUCCUCAUCAGCAGGGUAAAGGCAACUUUUAAUAUGCUGAAUAUUACAUUUGCUGUACUAUCAAUUUCAUCCUCAUACUGCUCAUAAAUGAGGAAUGAAGUGAAUGCCAGUGCUAGUGCUACACCAAGUGCAAAAGUCAAGCAAUCCGAAAUAACCAACUUCAAAACAUAUAGGGGUAUUGCAGCCUUCAGAAAUAUAUGCCAAUCCUCUCCUUGGGCAAGUAAUUUUGCUAAAUGACUCACUCUGUUCCACAUAUAUGCUACGUUGUAAAAGCAAUUUCUCAUAUCCACUUCAGAGAUCUCAAAGAAGGACCAUGAUAUUCUGGGAACUGAAAUCCCAUAUAUUGUUGGUGGCAGAAUGCUGUAUCCCCAGAGAGCAACAGCAAUCAUUAGUAAAAGCUGGGAAAGAGAUGAAAGAAAACUCCUCCCGGACAGAAAGAACCAGUAAUGGAUGAAAACCAGCAAAAGAAAACAAGUAAAUGUUCUCUGCUCAUCUCUCCACAGUAAGAUUUCUGCAACUUUUCCACCUCCUAGAAGUUUAUGCACUUUUGACUCCUCAUCGGUGUCACUAUAGCUUGAGAAAGAUGACUCUCUGGUUAAUUGAGAGGACUUAGCGGUUACAGCAACUCCUUCUUCAAGGGAAACAACUGGAGAAUAUCCAAUAUAUUUCUGAGCUGCCGAGCAAUUAAAUUUCCUAUGGCACAAUGCUAAUUCAAUAAUAUCAAAAACUGGAACAUUCUCGGUACUCCAGUUGCUCAUCCUUGAAACAGUCCAUUUUAUGAUCAAAGUAACAUAUUGGGUAACCAUAUCAGGAAUCUUGAUAAUCGACCUUUGAUAUCCCAAUCUCUGAAAUACAAGAGAUACAAAAUCCUUGAACUUCAUCGGCUUGAGAUUAGUGAUGAAAAAGGCCUUGCCACAUACAUGACUCCCCCUAGAACUUAGAGCUUUGUCUGCACAUAUAUGUGCAUAGGCAACAUUCUCCACAUAGGUGAAGUCGGUCAUAUUGUCACCAAGUCCUAUAAUAAACUUGCCCCAGCCAGAUUUUGCAACACCGACCAGCAAAGAAGAGAGAUAAUUGUCUCCGGGUCCAAAAGCAUAGCUGGGACGAAGUGCGCAAGUAAGAAGGCCAUCAGCAUCAUUUGCAACUAAAACUAGAGCCUCUGCUUGAGCCUUAAGAUCAGUUACCAUGUUCACAAAUUUACUGGAAUAUGGUAAGGACUCAUCCCCACCAUUUAUAUCCUGCCAGCUGUUCAAAACUACAUCAGCAGAACUGUUGUAUAAUAGCCUUUUGACUUUACACUCUUG
rnacentral:misc_RNA from 1 species